rnacentral:rRNA from 1 species
CCUACGGGUGGCUGCAGUGGGGAAUAUUGCACAAUGGGCGCAAGCCUGAUGCAGCCAUGCCGCGUGUGUGAAGAAGGCCUUCGGGUUGUAAAGCACUUUCAGCGGGGAGGAAGGCGGUGAGGUUAAUAACCUCAUCGAUUGACGUUACCCGCAGAAGAAGCACCGGCUAACUCCGUGCCAGCAGCCCCGGUAAUACGGAGGGUGCAAGCGUUAAUCGGAAUUACUGGGCGUAAAGCGCACGCAGGCGGUCUGUCAAGUCGGAUGUGAAAUCCCCGGGCUCAACCUGGGAACUGCAUUCGAAACUGGCAGGCUAGAGUCUUGUAGAGGGGGGUAGAAUUCCAGGUGUAGCGGUGAAAUGCGUAGAGAUCUGGAGGAAUACCGGUGGCGAAGGCGGCCCCCUGGACAAAGACUGACGCUCAGGUGCGAAAGCGUGGGGAGCAAACAGGAUUAGAUACCCGAGUAGUC